CAACGUCACUCGAAUAUAUGGUUACAAACAUUCGUAAUGCUGUUUCAACUUCUGUUGGUUGUCAGUUGGAUGGAGUGUUUCUUUUAAAACCAAGAACGAUACCUAAAACUACGAGUGGUAAAAUUGCGCGACAAUGGUGUAAAAGGGCUUUGAUGGAUCAAACACUGGAGAUUGUUUAUGAAUGGUUUGAUUAUUCACAUCUCAAUAAGAAAUCAAAUGAAAUUUCAAAUGAAAAUACAAAUGAAAAUACAAAUGAAAAUACAUCUAACAAUACUGUUGAGAAUGAGAACGAAAAUGCUGAGA
rnacentral:ribozyme from 1 species